rnacentral:rRNA from 1 species
GAUAAACGCUGGCGGCGUGCUUUAUGCAUGCAAGUCGAACGGUUAUGAUUUAUCAUGAUAGUGGCAAAUGGGUGAGUAAUACGUAAGUGACCUGCCCCUAAGUAGAGAAUAACUCUGAGAAAUCGGAGUUAAUACUGUAUGUGGUGGUAGAAGUAGUGUUCUAUCACUAAAGCCUUCGGGCGCUUGGGGAGGGGCUUGCGUCUGAUUAGCUAGUUGGUAAGGUAAUGGCCUACCAAGGCUGUGAUCGGUAGCUGGUCUGAGAGGAUGGUCAGCCACACUGGGACUGAGACACGGCCCAGACACCCACGGGAGGCAG